rnacentral:lncRNA from 1 species
CCACCAUCCCUCUUAGGCUCUCAUUAUCACAGGAGAGGAGGUUGCUGCUCAGUAUGGCGUACGCUGGAAUAUUUGUGGGAAAUUCCCCAACACCUGUAAUACACUUGGCCAUCUGCCAGGGGAAUCAGAGCAACAAGCAUGAAAAGUCAGAAGAUCACUGUGACUUAUAUUUUUCCACAUGCUCCUUGUCACUGUCAUUCAUGCUUACAGUCAUCUGUAAAAAGCUGAUUUUCUAAAGGAAAUAAGCAGUGCUGUGAAGGAACUUCCCAUUGACAAGAUUGUCUCACCACCUUUUCUUUUCUCUGUUUUGUGACAGAGCUUCUCAGUAAAAUUUGAUUGUUUAUAGUGUUGUAGCAUCUUUGGCAUUAUUGGUACUCCUAUAAUACAAAUAAACAAUAAUGUUAAUGAGAGUCA